rnacentral:rRNA from 1 species
AAUCAACGCUGGCGGCGUGCCUCAGACAUGCAAGUCGAACGAUUAAGACUUCCUUCGGGAAGUGCAUAAAGUGGCGCACGGGUGAGUAACACGUAAGUAAUCUACCCUCGAGUGGGGAAUAACGUUCGGAAACGGACGCUAAUACCGCAUAACGCAGCGGCACCGCAAGGUGACAGUUGUUAAAGGAGUAAUUCGCUUGAGGAGGAGCUUGCGGCAGAUUAGCUUGUUGGUAAGGACGGCUUACCAAGGCUACGAUCUGUAUCCGGUCUAAGAGGACGGUCGGACACACUGACACUGAAUAACGGGUCAGACUCCGUACGGGAGGC